rnacentral:lncRNA from 1 species
GAGAUGGAGUCUCACUCUGUCUCCCAGGCUGGAGUGCAGUGGUGCGAUCUCGGCUCACUGCAACCUCUGCCUCCUGGGUUCACGCCAUUCUCCUGCCUCAGCCUCCAGAGUAGCUGGGACUACAGGCGCCCACCACCAUGCCUGGCUAAUUUUUUGUAUUUUUAGUAGAGAUGGGGUUUCACCGUGUUAGCCAGGAUGGUCUCGAACUCCUGACCUCAUGUUAUCCCCCCACAUUUACCUCCCAAAGUGCUGGAAUUACAGACAUGAGCCACUGUGCCUGGCCGUGUGCUUUCAUUUUCAGUUAAGUCUCUGCUUUUGUUGCUUUAUUCUUUCCCUGCUUUGUUUGUGUGUUUUGUUCAAUUCUUUGUUCAAAACACCAAGAACUUGUACAGCCUCCACUGGUAACAUAUUUUGGCAAGCCAGCCAGGAGGUAAUCCCAAAGUUUGGGGUUUAUUUUUCUUGUUUGUUUUUCCUGCUCCAUACAGGGGAAUCUCAGUCUCUCUCUCUCUUUUCCUUUCCAACUUGGGACGGUUGGUGGGCAGCACCUAAACACAGAGGCAACUGCAGGUUUCUGGCCGGGGCCACUCUGAAGGACUCCUUUCUAUCUUUUCCAGUUGUGGUCCCUGAUCCCUACGUGUGGCACAGCUUGGGGCGAGCUGGCAUUUGUUUCAGUGACUUAAACCUUGUUUUCUCAUGCUAAAUUCUUCCCUUCCCCUACUCUACUGGCUAAGGACAAAAGAAACCCACCCAGCCUCCAGUUCCUAUCAUUACAGUUCAUGGCUAUCACUCUAGUGGAACAGGAAGCAUGGGAAAGUGUGGCCUUAUCAAAUUAUAAGGAUGCCAGAAGUCCAGGCCUUCAUCCAGGGACAAAAGGAAACCUCAUAGUAGGCCAUUGCCUCUGAAGGGAAAACAUGCUAAGCAGCACCAGUGCCCACCUAAGGUCAGAGACGUCUGACACUCUGAGACUGGACCCCAAAGGGGGACGGCCCAGGGAUCCUCCAGACCUCAACUUCUCCAAAGGGGACACCCUAGGCAGAGUUCUGAGGUCUAGUAUUAAGCCCUCCUUAGAAUUUUCUCUCGCAGUUGCAAUACUGUUUGGCCCAAUAUUGUUUGGAAUCUGGAGCUUGCUGUUGAAUGGGAAAGUGGGAUGGAGUUGCAUGUGUCAAACUGCUGUGGAAACUGCUAUAUCUGAAAUUUUGGUUCACAGCCUUCAUUGGAUUAUCUGUUGGGGCAAACAAAGGAAAACCCCCCAAGCUUGUAUUGCUAUCUCAUGCCUUAAGAUUCCCAGUUAAAAGCGAUUGAAUCUUCGUUUGUGUGCGUCUAUACAUGUCUAGAUGUGUUUAUUUGUAUGCACACUUAUUGUUACAUGUUGUGUCUACCAAAUUGGCUUAUAAAUAAAAGAGCACUUAAAAAUUAAGUAAAUAAGUCUAAGCAAUUUUCAAGUUCACGUGACUUAAGUAUAACUUUACUAAACAAGCUGGCUUUAAAAUUAUUAGUAAAAUAAAACUAGAAAUGCCUUCAGAAUUGUCAGAAUACAUUCUUUGUCUGGAUUUUAUAUUUGUCUCUGCUAAAUAUUUUGAGAUGUCAAUGUUUGGCAUAGAAGGUUAUAAAACUACUAACUUAGCCCAUACAAAAUGAUCUUGGUUUGUGUGCCUUUUUUUUUUUCAACGAAUGAGAGUAACUUAAUGUUGUUAACUAAGUCUUCUGAGUUAUUGGCAAAAAAAAAUACCAGUGUAUUUACCUUUAAGGCUGUUACUUAGGUUUAGGUGAGCACCUUAUGUUCGCUGGCUAUUAAAAACAUGGUUAGCAAGGAAAUAACUAACUUUAAAUGAUAGUGUCUGAUAUCUCUGUUUAUAGAAGUUAUCUAAAUAAACCGUUAAACAUGAAAGAAUUGAGUACAGUGAAUGGGAUAAAUGUUUUAGGUAAUCUUUUUGUGUAAAUUAAAAUCUUGGCCAGGCGUGGUGGCUCAUGCCUAUAAUCCCAGCACUUUGGAAGGCCAAGGAGGGUGGAUCACCCGAGGUCAGGAGUUCGAGACCAGCCUGGCCAGUGGCGAAACCCCAUCUCUACUGAAAAUAUAAAAACUAGCUGGGCAUGGUGGUGUGUGCCUGUAAUCCCAGCUACUGGGGGGCUGAGGCUGGAGAAUUGCUUGAACCUGGGAAGAGGAGGUUACAGUGAGUUGAGAUUACACCACUACACUCCAGCCUGGGGGACAGAGCAAGACUCUGUCAC